rnacentral:pre_miRNA from 1 species
AGUGGGAUGGCUGGAUCAUAUGGUAAGAGUAUGUUUAGUUUUUUAAGAAACUUCCAAACUUUUUCAAAGUGGCUGUACCAUUUUGCAUUCCCACCAGCAAU